rnacentral:rRNA from 1 species
GUCGAGAAUCUUUCACAAUGGGGGCAAUCCUGAUGGAGCGACGCCGCGUGGAGGAUAAGGUCUUCGGAUUGUAAACUCCUGUCAUGCGUGAACAAGGUUGCUUGGUUAAUACCUGGGCAAAUUGAUGGUAACACAAGAGGAAGAGACGGCUAACUCUGUGCCAGCAGCCGCGGUAAUACAGAGGUCUCAAGCGUUGUUCGGAAUCACUGGGCGUAAAGGGUGCGUAGGUGGCGUGGUAAGUCAGAUGUGAAAGCCCGGGGCUCAACCUCGGAACUGCAUCCGAUACUGCCAUGCUAGAGUACUGGAGAGGUGACUAGAAUUCUCGGUGUAGCAGUGAAAUGCGUAGAUAUCGAGAGGAAUACCAAAGGCGUAGGCAGGUCACUGGACAGUUACUGACACUGAGGCACGAAGGCCAGGGGAGCGAACGGGAUUAGAUACCCGAGUAGUCC